rnacentral:rRNA from 1 species
GAUGAACGCUGGCGGCGUGCCUAAUACAUGCAAGUCGAGCGAACAGACGAGGAGCUUGCUCCUCUGACGUUAGCGGCGGACGGGUGAGUAACACGUGGAUAACCUACCUAUAAGACUGGGAUAACUUCGGGAAACCGGAGCUAAUACCGGAUAAUAUAUUGAACCGCAUGGUUCAAUAGUGAAAGACGGUUUUGCUGUCACUUAUAGAUGGAUCCGCGCCGCAUUAGCUAGUUGGUAAGGUAACGGCUUACCAAGGCAACGAUGCGUACGCUACCUAAGAGGGUGAACUGCCACCCUGGAAAUGAGACAAGGCCUCUACCCCCACGGGAGGCAGAAGCAGGUAAUCCUCCGCAAUGGGCCAAAGCCCGGCGGAGCAAACCCGCGGGGGGUAUGAAGGGCCUCGGGCCCUAAAACUCUGUUAUUGGGGAAGAACCAAUGUGGAAGGAACUAUUCAUGUUUUGACGGUACCUAAUCAGAAAGCCACGGCUAACUUUGUG